GACAGAGGGUGCAAACGUUGCUCGGAAUUACUGGGCGUAAAGCGCGUGUAGGCGGGCCUUCAAGUCGGACGUGAAAGCCCCGAGCUCAACUUGGGAAUUGCAUCCGAAACUGAGGGCCUUGAGUGGUGGAGAGGGAAGCAGAAUUCCUGGUGUAGAGGUGAAAUUCGUAGAUAUCAGGAGGAACACCGGUGGCGAAGGCGGCUUCCUGGACACUGACUGACGCUGAGACGCGAAAGCGUGGGGAGCAAACAGG
rnacentral:rRNA from 1 species